UUUCUCUUAAUAAAAUGAUAUAUUUUGUUUUGAACUUUGGAAUUCCAUUGUGGCUUGGCACUAAAUUAUAGGCCUAGCAAUCCUAAAUCUCCUAUGUCCUCAAUAUCUAGAAACAAGCAGGAACUGUUUGUCAGAAAUUAAACAGGACUUAUUUGAAUGUGCUUUAAAAAAAAAAUCAAUGAAUUCAGGGGAAUGAAAAUACAUGUUAGAAAUUAAAAUGUGGUUAUCUCAGCUAUAGUUAAGAAAAUUAUCAAAUGUAAAUGAUCCCUUUUUUGCUGGAUCUUAUAAAAUAUGUGAUACUUAAGUACACUGAAGUUUUAAAGUUAGCUGCUUAUAUUGUACAAAGAUAUUUUUGGCUCUUUAAAGGUUAUUUUCCUAUAUUAAGAAAAGGUUUCUUAUAUUGAAAACUUUUAUGGUGACUCAGGUUUUGUGUCUAUGUAUAGGCACACAUAAAUAGGAGGUGUUUUUCUUUGCACAUUUGUUUUGCACAGCUAAAAUAAUGAGGUUAAAUAAUGCCCAGGUAUGCAGGUCAAUUGACCUUUUUAAUAGCUUAACGAAAGCAUUUGACAAAUGGACAAAAGAAAUCACAUUGUAUUUCUUUGUAUCUCUCCAUUCCUCUUACCCUUCCCCAACCCUCUACUAAAGAAUAUUUCUUAUUUAGUCAGGAAAUCUUAUGUAAUAUUUUUGGACGGUCCAUAGGAAAAGCAAGAUGAAACUCUCAGGCAGACAACAUAAAGCAGCUCCCAUAUCUGCUAGAAAGGUCAUUAAUUUUCAGAAUAUAUUGUUGAAAUAAUUUUUAUUUUCAAUACUUGUAGUCUUUCCACUCAGAGGACUCUUAUUUGGCUUGAAUGUGGAAAAGGCAUCUGGUUCAGGUCAGUAAGGACUGUUGUAUGUAAGUUUUACUCUAGAAAAUUUGGUUUUAGCUUUGAUGACACCUAGCGUCAGUGGAAUGCAAUGAAUGCUUAAUACUUCGGCUUUAUAAUGUUUGGGCAUUUCUCUUUAACAUCCUCAAAUACACUUUCAUCCUUGAAAACACAAGCCUAUUUUCUGUUUGAAAUGAAGAGAAAGGUAAUUGACAGAUAAACAGAUAGUUUUUGUUUGAAGAGCCAAUCAAGUUUCUCUUUGUACUCAGUAGGGACUAAAGGAAGCUUAAGGAUAAUGACAUUGUCUUCAUAUGAAGAAGAAAUUUUUUACUAGUGGAAAAUUAGAAGUAAAUCUACCAAAUUCUGUUUGUAAAUUUUAAAGACCACCACAAAAGACCUUGAAAAAAGUGAAACUACUGCAAGAUUACUGUUGCUUAUUGAAAGUAAUAAUACAGUUUUAUUUUUUCCACUUUAUAACUGCCCAAGGGCUCCCCCAACCAGCUAUAUAUAAGAAAACCAUAACAUGAACUAGGGUCUUUCUAUUCAAAAAAGAAAUAUUAAACUAACAUAAGCAAUUCUGAAGGAAGACAGUGGUAGGUUUUCAGAUGGUUUGUUAAGAAUUAUAUGUAAAAGGAUACUAGAUAUUAUGUUUUGGAUGUUUUCUAAGUAUCUAUGAAAAUUAUUUUUUCCUAAACGAUUUCAUAAUUGAUUACUUUUGACCUCAGUUAUUUUGGGGCAUAAUCCUUUUACUACUCUAUAAAGAAGUUCUACUUCUACCUAUAUGAAUUUGUAUUUUCCCAUAUGCCAAACACACACACAUAAAUUUUCUUUUUCUCAUUUCAGCUCAUAUAAUUCAGUUAGUGAAAUAUUUCACUCUUCUGUAAGUUUAAGAAAAAUUCCUAAGCAGUGAUACAACUUUGGGUCGCUAUUUUAGUAAAAUGAAGAGUCUCUAGACUUUUUUUUUUUUUUUAAUGAUCUCUGACUUCACUACCAUAUGUGCAGCACAACAGUGACAUCUUAAGGCCAAGUAACCAGAGCUCCUUUAGCCAGAGAAAGAACUUGAAUUGGGAUCUGAUUUCAAAGAAAUCCCAUUAUAUUAUCAAGUCGUUUUCAAAUUUACAAUAUUCGACUGGUAAAGAAAGUGCUUCUUUAUGACUUCUUUUGCAGUCUUUGUGAACCUUUUAAUGUGCAAUAGUAAACAUUGACAUUUUACAUAGACAUAUUGUAUAUUAAUGCAUGCAUUUCACUGCAUAGUUUAUUGACACUACCCUUGUAAAGCUUUUAUGGAAGAACCAACAAGCCACAGCAGUAUAGCAAAAGAGGCUUAAUCUUUAUAAAUUGGGGCCUUUUCUGUCUCUUUGCUAGCCUAGGUGGCUGUAUACAAAUUCGGGUGGGAGGGGGCAGGAAACACCUCUUCACAUUUAAGGUUUUCUACUUGGGUGUACUCUAGCCAAUUCAAAACAAAUUGCUUACUUUAAUAAUACAAUUUUACCAUUUUAUAAAAAAAAUCAAAUCACAACAUGUUUAACUGAAAUGGCUGUAUUGUAAUUAAUAUUUUGAGAUAAUUGUGAUUUUGAGCUUAAAUUAUAUAUAAAAAAUUGUCAUUUUUGUAUGUGUUAAAAAGACUACUAUAUCACAAUUAAAAGUACUUUUUAGUUGAACUACAUAUUGAUGUAAAUAAAACUGAAUGAAGACAUAUUUACUACUUUAUUAACAUAGAUCGUGAAUGUACUUACUGGUUUUUUUGCAGUAUGAGACCAUAACAACCUUGAAAGCUGCUUCAUUUUAUGUGCAAAGAAGUCCUAUGAAUCUAUAUUUUAAAUUUACUGAACCAGUGAAAUUAAUUACUGUCAGUUAAUUUGCAAAUGCAAGCUGUAUUCUCCAGUUUUAUUUUAUGUACUGACACUAAUUGGUAAAGGUGUACAAUGUGAUUAGAAUGCAUUUUGAAGAUGCUUUCUGUACAGAUACAAAAUACAGGGACUAAAAUAAUGCUGUGCAGUGUAUAGCAGAGCCAUUUUUCGGCUUUGGUGUACUCAACUUUUUCAGUAUUUAAAAAAGUGUUUUGAAUAACAUAAAAGUCUCCUUAUUGUAUAAAUAAUAAAAUGUCACCUUAUUGUAAA
rnacentral:lncRNA from 1 species